GGUUAAGCGACUAAGCGUACACGGUGGAUGCCCUGGCAGUCAGAGGCGAUGAAGGACGUGCUAAUCUGCGAAAAGCGUCGGUAAGGUGAUAUGAACCGUUAUAACCGGCGAUGUCCGAAUGGGGAAACCCAGUGCAAUUCGUUGCACUAUCGUUAACUGAAUACAUAGGUUAACGAGGCGAACCGGGGGAACUGAAACAUCUAAGUACCCCGAGGAAAAGAAAUCAACCGAGAUUCCCCCAGUAGCGGCGAGCGAACGGGGAGCAGCCCAGAGUCUGAAUCAGCUUGUGUGUUAGUGGAACGGUCUGGAAAGUCCGACGGUACAGGGUGAUAGUCCCGUACACCAAAAUGCACAGGUUGUGAACUCGAAGAGUAGGGCGGGACACGUGGUAUCCUGUCUGAAUAUGGGGGGACCAUCCUCCAAGGCUAAAUACUCCUGACUGACCGAUAGUGAACCAGUACCGUGAGGGAAAGGCGAAAAGAACCCCGGCGAGGGGAGUGAAAAAGAACCUGAAACCGUGUACGUACAAGCAGUGGGAGCACCUUCGGGUGUGACUGCGUACCUUUUGUAUAAUGGGUCAGCGACUUAUAUUCUGUAGCAAGGUUAACCGUAUAGGGGAGCCGCAGGGAAACCGAGUCUUAACUGGGCGUUAAGUUGCAGGGUAUAGACCCGAAACCCGGUGAUCUAGCCAUGGGCAGGUUGAAGGUUGGGUAACACUAACUGGAGGACCGAACCGACUAAUGUUGAAAAAUUAGCGGAUGACUUGUGGCUGGGGGUGAAAGGCCAAUCAAACCGGGAGAUAGCUGGUUCUCCCCGAAAGCUAUUUAGGUAGCGCCUCGUGAACUCAUCUUCGGGGGUAGAGCACUGUUUCGGCUAGGGGGUCAUCCCGACUUACCAACCCGAUGCAAACUACGAAUACCGAAGAAUGUUAUCACGGGAGACACACGGCGGGUGCUAACGUCCGUCGUGAAGAGGGAAACAACCCAGACCGCCAGCUAAGGUCCCAAAGUCAUGGUUAAGUGGGAAACGAUGUGGGAAGGCACAGACAGCCAGGAUGUUGGCUUAGAAGCAGCCAUCAUUUAAAGAAAGCGUAAUAGCUCACUGGUCGAGUCGGCCUGCGCGGAAGAUGUAACGGGGCUAAACCAUGCACCGAAGCUGCGGCAGCGACACUAUGUGUUGUUGGGUAGGGGAGCGUUCUGUAAGCCUGCGAAGGUGACCUGUGAGGGUUGCUGGAGGUAUCAGAAGUGCGAAUGCUGACAUAAGUAACGAUAAAGCGGGUGAAAAGCCCGCUCGCCGGAAGACCAAGGGUUCCUGUCCAACGUUAAUCGGGGCAGGGUGAGUCGACCCCUAAGGCGAGGCCGAAAGGCGUAGUCGAUGGGAAACAGGUUAAUAUUCCUGUACUUGGUGUUACUGCGAAGGGGGGACGGAGAAGGCUAUGUUAGCCGGGCGACGGUUGUCCCGGUUUAAGCAUGUAGGCUGAUUGUCCAGGCAAAUCCGGAUAAUCAAGGCUGAGGUGUGAUGACGAGGCACUACGGUGCUGAAGUAACAAAUGCCCUGCUUCCAGGAAAAGCCUCUAAGCAUCAGGUAACAUCAAAUCGUACCCCAAACCGACACAGGUGGUCAGGUAGAGAAUACCAAGGCGCUUGAGAGAACUCGGGUGAAGGAACUAGGCAAAAUGGUGCCGUAACUUCGGGAGAAGGCACGCUGGUGUGUAGGUGAAGCCCCUGCGGGUGGAGCUGAGACCAGUCGAAGAUACCAGCUGGCUGCAACUGUUUAUUAAAAACACAGCACUGUGCAAACACGAAAGUGGACGUAUACGGUGUGACGCCUGCCCGGUGCCGGAAGGUUAAUUGAUGGGGUUAUCCGUAAGGAGAAGCUCUUGAUCGAAGCCCCGGUAAACGGCGGCCGUAACUAUAACGGUCCUAAGGUAGCGAAAUUCCUUGUCGGGUAAGUUCCGACCUGCACGAAUGGCGUAAUGAUGGCCAGGCUGUCUCCACCCGAGACUCAGUGAAAUUGAACUCGCUGUGAAGAUGCAGUGUACCCGCGGCAAGACGGAAAGACCCCGUGAACCUUUACUAUAGCUUGACACUGAACAUUGAGCCUUGAUGUGUAGGAUAGGUGGGAGGCUUUGAAGCGUGGACGCCAGUCUGCGUGGAGCCAACCUUGAAAUACCACCCUUUAAUGUUUGAUGUUCUAACGUUGGCCCCUGACCGGGGUUGCGGACAGUGUCUGGUGGGUAGUUUGACUGGGGCGGUCUCCUCCCAAAGCGUAACGGAGGAGCACGAAGGUUAGCUAAUCCUGGUCGGACAUCAGGAGGUUAGUGCAAUGGCAUAAGCUAGCUUGACUGCGAGCGUGACGGCGCGAGCAGGUGCGAAAGCAGGUCAUAGUGAUCCGGUGGUUCUGAAUGGAAGGGCCAUCGCUCAACGGAUAAAAGGUACUCCGGGGAUAACAGGCUGAUACCGCCCAAGAGUUCAUAUCGACGGCGGUGUUUGGCACCUCGAUGUCGGCUCAUCACAUCCUGGGGCUGAAGUAGGUCCCAAGGGUAUGGCUGUUCGCCAUUUAAAGUGGUACGCGAGCUGGGUUUAGAACGUCGUGAGACAGUUCGGUCCCUAUCUGCCGUGGGCGCUGGAGAAUUGAGGGGGGCUGCUCCUAGUACGAGAGGACCGGAGUGGACGCAUCACUGGUGUUCGGGUUGUCAUGCCAAUGGCACUGCCCGGUAGCUAAAUGCGGAAGAGAUAAGUGCUGAAAGCAUCUAAGCACGAAACUUGCCCCGAGAUGAGUUCUCCCUGAGACUUUAAGUCUCCUGAAGGAACGUUGAAGACGACGACGUUGAUAGGCCGGGUGUGUAAGCGCAGCGAUGCGUUGAGCUAACCGGUACUAAUGAACCGUGAGGCUUAACCUU
rnacentral:rRNA from 1 species